CGCGCUGCGAGUGCUGUGUCAUUGUGCGAGAGGGCUGGGGACAAGUGCAGAGAAGUUUAGUGCUUUUUGACAUUGGAGAUGGGAAUCGCAAGGCAGAGGAGGGACGAGGGCCGGAAACUGAGCGUAAGGCGGAAAAAUAUAUGAAAAUGAAAUACUGCGCUCUGUAGUUACUUUUCGUUUCUUUACUUAUUGAAGCACAGACAUGUAUAUGCUGGUUUGCUUUUAAUAGGUACAGAUAUAGACUUAAUAAGGAAGUUAAGUUCAAUAAAACAACUCAGUGUCCCAGAGAUAGUCUUGGAAACAUCCCUGUUAGGGCAUGAUUACUUUUUAUGUCCUUAAUUCUGUCUCGAGUUGUGGAUCCUGAGAAAUUAUAUAUCACGACGAAUGUAACAUCAGGAUUUUUUUUCUCUAAUGUCUUUAUUGCAUGUGAUUUUUUCUGUGGUACUACAAGUCUUAGGUGUUCUGAGCCCUUUAGUUCUGCUGAAAUUAAUGUUUUUGCAGGUACAGAUAAAGUUCGUGACAUAGUUAGAAUAUUAGCUAAAAUAAACUUACAAGACCAUACUUUCUUUUUCCUAACUGUUUCUUAAAAGAAAAAAAAAGUUUAUCUUAUUUAAUGUAAAUUAAGUAUUCACAGUGGGGAAGUCUCUGCAGCUUCUGGAGCUUGGAUUGGGCAGAGCCCUGACUUGCUGUUACAGAAGGUGAAAUUAGUUUUGCUUGAUUCUGGCUGUAAUGCUAAAGCAAAGUAGUGUGCAGGCUUUCUGGGUGGAACAGAGACUUGUUAAGAAGUGACCAUUAUCAGGCUUCUAGAUGUUCUUUCUUGCAGAAAGUAAGAAUGUCUAAAAGAGUCCAUUUGAAUCCCCAAGUGAGGUCAUAGUUUUGAGAUGUUGCAUGUUCAGUCCACUUUGUCUGUUAUUUCCAGUAUUUAGGAAAGAAUUAUGAUAACUGGGCUCAAACCCAUUCCAAAUUGUUUUUUUUUUUUUAUUAAACCACCACUUUCUAGCAAUAGAAGAACUUUGUGUUCUAUUACCCAGGUUUUAUUCAAAGGAAAUUAGAUAAUGCAAAUCUGUGUUAAGAGAUGAAAACACGGACUUUUGUGGUUUAUGCCAGCCUAAAAAUUUACUUAAACAAUUUAUGAAAUCAAGUUAUGUAUCAAAACCAGACGUGCCCAAUUUUUAUAGGAUACUUUGAAGUGUAGCAUAAGUAUACUAUAGUAGAUGAAAAGACAUGUAAAGGAGUCACUUAAGAAUCUUUUGUACAGUGCAUUUCAGAAUAUAAAAAUGUAAAGUGAUAGAGCAGGGGAUAAAGAACCCUACAAUCCUAAAAAUUGUUUUUUGUUUCCCAAGUACAAAAUAAAAGAAUCAGUGAUCAGCAUAUAAAAGUUUUUUGAUAUUUUCAAGGAGUUCAGUCAUGACAAGUUUAUAAUUUUGGUGUAUCUUAGUAAUACUUAAUGGUAGUAGACUCUGAAGUGAUUUUAACACUUUCAAUCCCAGAUAAUGCUCUACCUUUUUUACUUUUGUUUAGUCAUAGGCAUAUAAUGUAGCAGGCAGUGGUAACUGUAUUAAACAAUUCUGGGGUAAUAGUUCCAGUAUAUAGAUGCUGCAGAGUCUUGUCCUGUGGGGAUGAGAAUGUGAUUUAGGCUUUACUUUCACUCUCCUCCCCACCCCAGCAAGGAAGGUGAGAUGGGCCUUUCUGACUCCUCUUUACUCAGUGUGAUUUAGAGCAUCUUUUUGCAGUCUGCCCUGCUGAUCUUCUGUGCCUGAAGCUGCUGUUUGUUGUGCUGGAUAUGAGUUACUGUGAGAUUGUUUUUUCAAGUUUGUAGUUCUGUCUGAGCUACUCAUAUCUUUGCAGAUAGAAAAGUUUGACUUUGUGUUAAUUUUAAGUUGUUUGAGCUUUGUUUUUUUCUCUCUUCAAAAUCAGUUAAUCAGUAAAGUUGUUUCUUUUUUGAAAAAAAAUCAGUGGAAUAUAAAUUGGCAAAGGCAAGGCUUAUUGCAGGUAUUUGUAAAGGAUAAGCCCUUCCCUUUGAGCAACUAGCAGUACAACUAAAUCCAAAUAAUGCAUUUUUUUAUACAACAUUUUUUCUUCACCUUUUCUUCCCAGUUUUUUUUCUUUUGCUCUCACAACACAAUUUCUAUGCUCCUUCAUCUUUCCCCAUUAUAUAAUUUAUUUGAGUAGGGAAAUUUAAUUGUAAUGCCUUCCACACAUGUGUCUUUAAUCAGUGACAAAUGGAUUUUCCUGUCCUGGUGAAUCUCAAAUAUUAAUUUUGUUGCCUGUCAGUGUUAGAAAAAGGAGGAGAAAAUGCAAAGACCAGGCUUCAUUCUUAGAAAGUUAGCUGUUCACAGUGAAUUAGUUUUUGAUGUUUUAUCCCACUGACUUUGUCCCCUGCUCCCCCCAUACCUCCAUCAGUGUUUAAUGUUGCUUUAGGCCUUAGUCCUCAGAGCUUUCUGUGCAUGGGCAGCAGAUGGCUUACUAGAAUGAGAGGGGAAGAACAGUGUUAUCUCUUUAAAUACAGUAAUAGACUUCGAGAAAUAACAAAUUGCAAGUGUCAAAAUUAGGGGGCUUCUUUUUUUUUAACAUUUGAAAAACUGUGUGUCAUUCAGUAGGAGUAAACUGAGAAACUAAAAAACAAUCGAGUAGGCCAACUUGUGUUUUCAUAGUGAUUCUGAGCCUUGAAUUUUUCACUAUUUUUCUGAACUAAUUUGUUUGGUUUUAUUUUUUUCCUAAUAAUGAAGUAUUAAGUGUGUGAUGAGUAAUUUGUCAAGGGUGAUGUGCCAGAUUACUUUAUUACAGGAAAAAUAUAAAUAAAGUUAGUAAAUGACAAAAAGUGGUUCCCUACAAAGGCAAGACUGCUUCUGCUGUCUUGGGAAGCCAGAAAUAGCUGAUUGGAGGUAUCAAGUGUUGUUUGCAGAUGCUUAUCUCAAUUUGCCUUUGCCUCUGCAUCACAGAUAGUUUUUUGUCAUUUGUCCAUAGAGUGACAGCAUCUGAUUUAAAGGGAACAGAGAAUGUGUCUGUGUUUUGGUGAAAGCAUCUGAUGCAUAUUUACUUUUUUAAUCUGAAAAAGGUGUUUAAAUACAAAUCUGGAAGGAUGAUGCUACAGUUUAUCCAUAAGUAUGCAAAAAAACUCUUAGGAAUGUUUAAUCUUGCAAGCCAUGAUGUGUGUGUAGUGAUUUUUUUUCACCAAGUUUCGUUUUUGUUGUAAUUACAGAAAUUUUAGGAUGUGUUUUAGAUCUGACUCAUGAACACUUGAAUGUGAUCCAGACUUCUGUGUUAAAUUUUCCAGAAGUCUGCCUUUCCCUGUGGCUGUGCUAAUGGCUCAGUAGGACAUGGUACCAAAGCAGUGCAGAAUACAGUAUUUAGACCUGCUUUUCUGUCUUUAGAUUGGACUGGUUUAGAUGAAGAUGAAGAUGCACAUGUCUGGGAAGACAACUGGGAUGAUGACAAUGUAGAAGAUGAUUUUUCCAAUCAAUUAAGAGCUGAAUUAGAAAAACAUGGAUACAAGAUGGAAACGUCAUAGCUUUUGCAGAAUAUGGAGUGGUUUAACACUGAACUGUGGAUAGACUUUAUUGAGAAAAGAAGAAAAGAUGGAAAAUGAGAAGACACACUUAGUUCAUUAUCUGCUUGGAUUUAUUAUUGUUUUGUAUAAAAAAUAAAGUUUUUAAUCUUAGCCUGGUCAUACAUUUAGCCUCCACUCACCUGGUAUGUUGUAUUUUGGUUCUGAAUUGUCUUGUGUGGCGGAAUCCAUGGACCUGCCUGGAAUGCCACUAAUGGUCUGGCAGUGGCUGAUGCUCUUGGCACUGGCUGCUGCCUGGGGGGCUAAACAUGUGUAACCAGAAUGGAGACUAAUGAAUGUUGCUGUCACAGGAAAUAAAAUACUUAUGUACUCCAAUUAAAAUGCAGCAGAGAUUGAAAGCAGUAUUAGGGAGUGAUAAAGCUUGUUUUGCCUCAGCAUUUUAUUUCAUAAUGACUUGGGGUUUCUUUUUUAGUCAUUUCAUGAGGGUGCUGGUUUAAUAAAACAGAGUUCAAAGUGUCUUGCAACAGCAGAAAUCCAAACUAUCCAAUCUAGUCCUGUCAUUUCUCAGGACUGUUAAAGAUGAGACUUCUCUGGAGGUGAAAGUUCUGUUCUUGCACUUAUUUGAGCCUAGGAAUCUCUGCUGAAAUUGCCUCCAAUUUGCCAGUUACAGCAGUUCAUCUGUAUCACGUAAACUUGCCUGCGGAGAACAGAAAUCAAACUUCCAACUCAUUUCAUGGAGGCCAACACAGAUUUGCCAGAAAGAUAUCGCAGUAGUGACUGGAUUCAAUUACUCUCUGAACUAGAAAACAGAAAGUGGAAAUUACCACACCUAUUACCACUUCCAUGAAACCUCCCCAAAGGACCUGUUAAAUCUGGUGUGUGCAAAGACAGAGGGAGAUGGCAGCCAUGGCUCCUAAUUAAAUUAGGGUUUUUUAAUAAAGGGGCAUCUAUAGUUACAUACUCAUGGAAAUUUGAAUGAGCUACUUGCUUUUAAAUGAAGACUUAAUUGUUACAUAAAGUUAGCUUUCAGAAUAAAUGGAUAGUUGGUGGACAUGCAGUUAUUUAACCUUGUUAACUAAAUAACUGAGUAUCAUGUGUUAAAAUGACAUUGAUUAAUGCAAAAUGUGAGGAAGUUUCCUCUCCCCAGAACUUGGGUAGUGCUAUUUUAAUGGAAGCAAGAUUCACUGUGACUUACUGCUUUCUGAAGAUAGCUAUGUAAAGACUGAGAAUUUCAUUGCCAUCUGAAUGGUUCUGCAGAACUGAGUGGUUCUGCAAAACUAAAUGUCUCAGAUGGUGUUGAAUGCUGGCAGUUUGUCCAGCUCUGUGCCUUGGGAAAAGAAAGGGAAGGCUUUUCAAGUAGGCUUGCCCUAGUCACUUAAAUUGUUCACAUUGAGAUAUGUGGGUCAUGCAGCCCACUUCAAUAGAAUGCAAGUCCUGAAGUUCAUAUUUUGACACAUAACAAAUGUAAAGUCUGUGUAUUGAGUGGCAAAUAGCAAUACAAACAUCCUCAGGUUCGUGUUGGAAAUUUAGAAGAAAAGUAUGUUGAGUACAGUCCUGGGAUUGCUGAUGUUAUUAACACAGCAGUACUGGGAAGUUGAGUAACACAACUGACCAAAAGAAGAUGACAAAAUAAUUGUGGAGAUGUCUGGUGCAAUCUGGAUAGGAACAGCUGCUUUCCAUUACAGGAUUCUGGAAAGCUGACUAAAGCAGCCUUGUCCCAGUGAUUGCAAGCAGCAGGAGGAAGCCAUGGAGGUGGAAAAGCAUCUUUGCCUCAAGAAGGCUUUGUGUUUGCUGAGCCUCAGUUAUAUUUAUAUCCUUAUCUUUCCCUCUUUUUCACAAAAGCAGAAUUGGAAUGGAAGCCUAGGCUGAGGUAGUGGCUCUGCACUCUCACAGUAUCAACCUUCAGCUGCUGGGUUGUGGUAUGAAACCCCCAGCUGGAAAAAAAGGAGAGCAAUCUGCUUUGAAGGUCCGUUUGAUGAUAUGGUUACAAUGCUGUCUUUGAGACAAACUAGGGACUUUUUGCCCAUUUUGGUUCUCUUUUGACAGCUUUGGUGUUCAGGAAGGAUGUUGAGGUGAUUGGCCAGGAUGUCUCAGCAUAAUUCACCCUAAUGUACCUGCCAUUCACCUUUAAAAGGAACUAAUACUCCUGUGUGUUUGUAGACUUGAGUUUUUUAGAUGGGCCUUGCUGGGAGAGGUUUCCUUUGGCGGUUGUUCCUGGAGGUGUUGUAAUGAUCCCUGUUAGUUGAGGAAUCCAUGAAGUGUGGGAGACAGGAAUACCUGGGGCUUGUGAGGGAGGACCCACUGAGAGAAGACAAGGAUUUCGGAAGGAAGAUCUGCAGCCUGUCAGGGUGGGAAUGUGUUGAAGAGAGGGAGGUUUGGCAAAGAUGUGAGCGGAGGAGAGGUUGGACUUUGUAGUUCAGAAAGUAGGACAGCACGUGGAGGUGUGUGCGUGGCUUGGCUGGGUGUGGGCUGCUGGGUAGUCUCUGUUCCCUGUUGUAGGAAGGAGAUUUAGGUUGAUGUUGUCCUGUGUUUGGGGACCUGUCCUCCUCACUAGCCCAUCCCUCAGCCAAGCUGUGGAACUCUUGGCCAGUAUCCUUAUCUGAGCCCUGCCAGGCUAUGUGGCACACAUCUGCAGCUCUCUGCAAGACAAAGGAGGGCAUGUUUUGCAGCGUGGGGAGAGUGGACUCGCUGUGACCUAGAUGCUGAGGAUGUCUCAAGGCAAAGCGCUGUUCAGCUAAUUUGGAGGAAAGCUCUGGAACAUUCCUGAUUGCCAAUGUUUGGCACUCAUGCUUUGCCUUGAUCCUUAAGAAACCAUACACACCUAAGAAGAAAUGCAAAGUCAGAGGUAAGCACACAGAAUGGUGAGCAGUCCAAAGUAAGGCUGUUUGGAAGGCCUUCAGUUCUACUCUUUUGUUUCAGAAUAGCCUUUGCUGUCUCCCCCCUGGUGCCUGCCUCCCUCUGCUAGCUUGUGCAACAGCACCAGCAGCUUCCCCAGGUAUUUGCUGCUGCUGGGUCACAGUGUGUCCUGUUCCCUCCUGCUGCACCCUGCCCACGUGGUGCUGGAGAGAAUGAGUAAAUGUGGGUCUCCAUAACACAGCAGUCGGGCUGGUUUGCAAUUGCUCAGUUACAUUUUCCACUGUCCCUGGGAGAGGGAGAAGUGUUUUCCCCUCUUUGAAGUGUAUGAUUAUUUUAAGUGUGAGACCCCAGGACCUCAUCUUUCACUGGGUUUGGUAGUAUGUAAAAUGCUCUGCACGUUCAAAUGUUUCUUUAGCUUCAGUUACUGCUGUGCAUAUUCAGCACGUCUGCCAAUCAGGAUUUAUGGGGUACCAAGUUAGCCACCCAGAAAAGGAGGCGCAUGCAUUAUAACCUUUGCAGCUUUUGUAAGGAAUGAGGCAAGGACUCCACAAAUGGCUACCUUUGCCUGCUAGCUUUUUCUUGAACCUUAUUUUUUUCUUAUCCUGUUUUUUCUUGAACACUAACAAGGACUAAUAAGUCCCCUGAGGGAGGGAGGUACAUAUAAGAAAAUACAUGAUCAUAAAAUUAAAUACUAUGAGAAGACAUAUGUAUGGGAAAAGGAACUUAUAUUGCUCAGAAUCUCAGUUCCAGCAUUUCCUAUCUUUUAACUGUCUGACUUUACAGCACUAAUAAUAAUCUUUCAAUGCAAGUAUGAUUUUUUGUUUGCAUAAUGAUACAGCUAAAUUUGAUUUAAUUUCAAGGCAUGCAGGGAAAUAAGAAGAUUGAUGCCCAGAAAGUUUUUGUGGUGGAAUUUUACUAAAGAAUAAAUGUUAUGUAACAUUUCAAACACAGUGAGAUCCUUCAAAAUGAAGUGUGUGAUAUAAAUGUAAAAUAUUUGCAAACUAUAAUUUAGCAACCGUUUUAAAAUCACAGUUGGUAUUCCAACCUCUUACAUGUGGCGGGUGAGAUCCUUUGUCAACUGCGAGCUAAGGGCAGUGAAUGUGAGAUUCAUUAAGUAAUUAUAUAGGAACAUUAAUUUCAAAUUAAUUUCAACAGUUGUUUUAGACAUUAGCAACCAAAUUAGGGGACCAAAGGCAAACAGUAAUGCAGCUUAAUACUUUUAAUAAAUGAAGGCAUUUGAAGUGAUUUACAUAAAUCGGAUGAUAAGUUCUCAUUUAAUGGGCUUCCAAAUGCCCCCUCCUCCCCUUCCCGUUCACCUUCGAGCGUUUCCAGGCUGCGUGCGCUCUGCAUUUACCCAGCUCUCUUGUUGCAUCGUGCUUUUCUCAAAUCCUUCCUACACUGGCUUUAUAAUGAGCGGUCAGACUUUCUGGAAUGUGUUACCGUGAGCUGGAACCCUUUAAGGCUUCUGAAUCCACAGCGCUGGGAGGCAUGGGAAGGGAAUGGAGCCACUAUUGACAAGGCUCCUAGGAAAACAAAUGGUGGAGAACAAAAAAAGCAGAUUAGGGUAUUGGGGGAUGCUUGCCUACAGGCAGGGCAGGGAGAUGAAAACCAGCCCAUCAGCAAGUGAAUGGGUCACAUGUAAUGGAUAAUGACCAGCCCUUUUCAUCUUUCCUGCAGUGAGCUCAAGGCUCUUAAUGAAAAGGAACAGGCACUGGUCUGGAUUUACAGUGCACCUGAUGGAGGCAAGGCAGCUCGGUGACUCACCUGGGGAGAAACCAGCCCUGCCAAUGCUCCAGCCACCUCACCUGCCUUGGGUCCCUCCUAAAAGGGCAAAAUAAAAUCCCUUCCUUCCCAAGGGAGCUCCUAGUCUGUGAGGUGUAAAAGGCAAGACGGGACAGCUGGGGAGGGUGGGUGAUGGGCUGUGUUUCCCUUCCUCAGGGUGUUGGUCUGCAGCGUCCAAAUGGGAUGUGGUGGAACUGUACAAUGCAAGCCUCUAACAAAGAUUCCUAUAACAUUAGGAAUUGUCCCAGUCACCAGGCUGUUCAGUGAUACUGUCCAGCUGGCAGUAAUGUUUGAACCCUGUUUUUCAAGACUUGGGUAACAAACUGAUGCUAUCAGCCACUUCUCCCUCAGGAAAAGUAGUGGGGUGGCUGGGUGGUAACAGCACAUCCGGAAAACAAAGGUGCAAUGAUUCUGUUUGUGCUCAGCUCAGUACUGCUUUCUUACACCAAAGAUACCCAGUUCAGGCCAGAAAUGCACAAAGAAAUGUGAGCUCUGGAAGAAGAGUUUGAUCAAUCUUACUCUCAAGUAUUUAAGAUGUUUGUUUUCCUUCGCCCUUCCCAAGCUGCCUGUUGUGCCCACUGUGCAGGUGAGUGUGAGCUGGCAGAGCUGAGACCCAAGCGCAUUUUCUUUUUGGCUGGCAGUUAGCCAUGGAGGAGGACCCCAGAAGAACAUGAGGGAAAGAGGAAACCAUGGCAGCAAGAUAAAAAAACCACCUGUUUUCACUGUGAAGGUUAAAAUGGGAAAGGGUAAAAAUCCCUCCUGAACAGAAAGCAGCGACUGAGAGGGUUUGUGAGCACAUCACAGGUUGAAUCACUGUAAAGGGCAAUUCACUCCAAAUUAUACUUGUGAAAUGGCAAGACCUCCAAUGUAUCAUUUCAAGACUAUUGCUUCAGUGGCUUUUUAGGUUUGAUUAUGCUCUCUUUUUUUUCUUUUCCUGGGGCAGAUUAAAAUUCCAGAGGGUGCUGUGCAAAACAGACUUUAUCCAACAGGUAUCACCUUAGUUCUCUAGGUCUCAUCUGCAGGGCCCAGCUCCUGAGUGCUCAGUGCUGUAACCAGAUGUGGCUUUUCAGAGCCAGGUUCCAGCUGCAGCUGAUCCCUGGCACCUCAGACUAGAAAUGGGCUGUGCAGAGGUGGCAGCAAAUGAGUGUUGCCUAGUGGGAGCCUCAACUUCAGCCUAGGAAUGUGAUCUUCUCCCAGCCUCUGACAUGAUAUUUCAUAGAUGAAGUAUUAGCUGCUAAGAAAUUUCACUAAAAUGUGUGCUGGGUUCUGGUCCUUGCUCUGCUAUUCUGUGAUCAAUGUCCAUUAAAAGAAAGAGCACAAUGGUGUUUUGCUGCCUGUGAGCAUGAGUAAGAUUACCAUGGUACUGUACAUCCCUCCCAGGAUGUCAUUUCUGGGCAUUUCUAGGCUGAAGUUUGCCUCAUUAGAGCCUGUCUGCUCCCUUUGUUGGUGCUUGCUGUCUGUACCACAAAGAGGGUCUGGCAUGGGGUAAGCCAGCCUUAGAGGAAUUAUAGCAGUUCAAAAAGUAAUCAAGAGUGAUAAAACCAAUGAGUAGAGAUUUGAUUGGAACUUGAUGGAGCUGCAGAAACUGCAUGACUCAUCUUAAAAAGAAUAUAUAGAUAUAUGACAUUUUAAAAUAGGCUUCUUUAUUUUUGCGGUUCCUGUGGAAUAUUUAGCAAUUGCUGUUCUUUUUAAAAAUAACUUUGAUGUUAUACAGAUAUCCAGGGCUUGCAGAUUGUGUUGUUUAUUGAGAAAGCACACCCUUUCCAGUAGCCUUCUCUCAGAACAGGCAUACGUGAUGCUUUUACAAGCACAGCAUCAAGCGUGGCCUUCCUGCCCUGAAACUGAAUGAGACUGAAACAAGGCCCAGGAUACUCUGCAGGAGAGAAUGGAGUGGAUUGAGAUGGCCAUGGGAAAAGACCACAAAUAAAUGUUUGGGCCAGGCAGAAGGAAGUAAAGAGGAGUCUCCUGAGUGAAGAGAUUAGGAGGAAGCAAGGGAUACUGGUUCUGCUAUGUGGACAAACCAAACUGGAUCCAGGUUGCAUCUGAGUUGAAAAGGCUGACGUGAAAUGAGCUCUCUUUCUAACCUGAAGAACAGCACACCUGAAAGAAUCUUUCAGCACAGAACAUUGAAGAAGCCUGAGACAAACAAAACGCUCUCUUGCUUAUGUCUCCAUCUACAUGG